UACGAUAAAGGUAAACCCUGAGUGAUCAGGGGGCGCAAAGUUAAGGAUCUCUGAUAAACCCACAAAGAGCAGAUAGCAGGAAGAUAGCCUUACUGCCGAAG
rnacentral:ncRNA from 1 species